UCUUUCCCCACAUCCCCCCACCCCAGCCCAGAGCCACAUUUUUCUUUUAGCUCAACGUCAGAAAUAAGGUAUUAUUCAAAAUAAGAUUUUUGCCCCAUGGAAUUGGUUUGUUUGUUUGUUUUUGUAAUUGUGUAUCCUCCAAGUUUCUGGGUCAGAACAAUGGGGAAAGUGACAUAACCUCGAAGGACCCUCAGGGUUUGGCUGACCUUUGUGUGCUGAAACCUACAAAAACCAGACCCUGGUCAAGAGCGGUUAGACCAUGUGAGCAGUUACCAUGUGACAGCAGACCAUACUUGCCAAGGAUGGGAAGCAAGAACUUAGGGAUUGUGGCAAUAUGUUUAAUGAAGACGAUUAAAUCUGGAAAUCAAAGAAUAA